GCUCGAGUGGCGAACGGGUGAGUAACACGUGAGUAACCUGCCCUUGACUCUGGGAUAACUUCAGGAAACUGGGGCUAAUACCGGAUAGGAGCUCCUGCUGCAUGGUGGGGGUUGGAAAGUUUCGGCGGUUGGGGAUGGACUCGCGGCUUAUCAGCUUGUUGGUGGGGUAGUGGCUUACCAAGGCUUUGACGGGUAGCCGGCCUGAGAGGGUGACCGGCCACAUUGGGACUGAGAUACGGCCCAG
rnacentral:rRNA from 1 species